AUUGAACGCUGGCGGCAUGCUUUACACAUGCAAGUCGGACGGCAGCACAGAGAAGCUUGCUUCUUGGGUGGCGAGUGGCGAACGGGUGAGUAAUAUAUCGGAACGUACCGAGUAAUGGGGAUAACUAAUCGAAAGAUUAGCUAAUACCGCAUAUUCUCUGAGGAGGAAAGCAGGGGACCUUCGGGCCUUGCGUUAUUCGAGCGGCCGAUAUCUGAUUAGCUAGUUGGUGGGGUAAAGGCCUACCAAGGCGACGAUCAGUAGCGGGUCUGAGAGGAUGAUCCGCCACACUGGGACUGAGACACGGCCCAGACUCCUACGGGAGGCAGCAGUGGGGAAUUUUGGACAAUGGGCGCAAGCCUGAUCCAGCCAUGCCGCGUGUCUGAAGAAGGCCUUCGGGUUGUAAAGGACUUUUGUCAGGGAAGAAAAGGCUGUUGCUAAUAUCGACAGCUGAUGACGGUACCUGAAGAAUAAGCACCGGCUAACUACGUG
rnacentral:rRNA from 1 species